rnacentral:lncRNA from 1 species
GUCAUCUAAAAAUGACUAGUGUUCCUAAACAUGAUGUGAUUUCACAAGCUUAAACAUGUCUGACGUUCUUUUCUAACCUUUGCUGGAUGCUUCAACAGUGUUUGGCUGUCAAUAAUUUACCCUGGCUGAUUGAGUUUAUACUUGCCUGCUUUGUGAAUAAAAGUGUUUGGAUUACAAAGAAGAGAUUGAGUUAUCCUGCAGAGAGAUGGUGCAAUAAGCAGAUUUUUCUCUUCUUUCAUCCACAGCAUUAUUUCAGCUGGGAGCUGUAGUAUGUGACUAAUUAGCCAAUGGAAGUCCACUCUCUGGACUUUCUGGUGGUAUAUUUACACUGAAUUCUGGCCUGAUAAUAAAGGUGUCACCCAGUGUAACAAUGUGACACACCCAGAGUGAAGAAGAAAAGUCUAAGAUAACACAGAGCCUCUGUCAGCCCUCAAACUUAUUUUUCACAAGCUUCAGCAAUAUUCCAAACAACAAAAGAAAUAUGACUGAACAGACACAAAUUUUGAGGACAUAUUUUUUCCCCAGUAUUUUUUUAACAGGUACUACUGAUGUCCCAGUGCUUUUGAGGGUCUUGUUUGUCCUCCUGGAUGCUUUAGGAAGUUACCACUUUCAGCUCACCUAGAGCUGAUCUCAUUAAUAAAAGAAUGACUUUACAGAAAAGAGUUUCUAAAAUUAUACUCUCACUCAGAAUUGCAAGAGUUGGCUUUUCAGCCUGAAGAUAAAUUUCUUAAGCAUUAAGCUUACUUUAUCAAGUAUUACACCUGACAUUCUCUCAUAAAUUUUGCAUAUAUUUUAACUAAUUUUAAUAUUGUGUGGGCUUGGUUUAUAAUAUUCUCAUGCAGUUACUAAAGUUGAAUCUUCUCAGUCAUAUAUUAGUUGUAAGAAUGCUUAACCCCUUCCAAAAUAUCACUCACUUAAAAUCACAUCAGCUAAGUCUCCUCUUAUUUUUGCUUAUUUCUUGGUUAUUUACCAUGCAUUUUGUGUAUGUUGGAACCAGCCAUGCAGUCGUUGUAUUCCUUUUUUGAGAGGGCAAAUGUAUUUUGACAAGGUUGCUAUUGGAAACACUUUUUAAAUAUCUCAUGUGUCACAUCACAAUCAGCAUCAUAAUCUGAUCAGGUGGAUUAAUUUCAGAAGGCAGCAGAGGGCAUUGCUUACAGGGGUCACAGACAUUCAGAUCAUGGCAGAACUGUCACAGAUGUUACUUUGUGAAAACACAAAGAAUAAUGUGUUUGGAGAGAUCAGUCUUCAAUUAGCUAUAUUUUCUAGGAGCCUACCUUUACUUAGCCUCACAACAUGGGCCUUAGCUUUAGCACUUAAUCUGCACAAAUACCUGGCUUAAGUGUUAUGACUGACUGGCUAUUCAACCAAACCAUACAAAUGACCAAUUCGGUAAGAAAGCAUGAACUUCAGUGUUGAACCAAAUCAACCAACCUCCUCAAUCCAAAUGGCUUGCAGAGCUCAAACCAUUACACCAUUCAGAAGCUGGCUUUGGUAUUACUUCAAGUUAUUCAAAACAGUCACCACUUGCUGAGCCUCUGAUGUCUCAUCUGUUGAAUGGGUACAUUUUCUUCCUGAUCCUUCCACCUCUAAACUUGUCUAUUUCCAAGGAUCUAUGGCAUCCAGGCAUAUGAUUUCAAGAGAGAAGGCUGAAAAGGAAGGUGACUGGAAUAUUAAGAACUGUGAGAUAUUCUGAGGAAACUCUAAUUUGUAAAUUGGUAGAAAUGCCAGUAAUUUGUUGGGAAUUGAAGACCCUCUGUAUUCAAGAGCGAAGCUUGGCAGCUGUGCACUGUUGUUUUAUAAAUCAAUAUUACAUCUGAAGGUGGUGUUUGAAUGUUUGUGUCAUUGGGGUUUGUCUCCAACAUAGUCCUGUGACAAGAAAUGUUCAAACAAAACAAACACAAUCCCUUCCCUGUCCUUUAGGAUAAAGUCCAAACGUAAUUCCACAACAGGGAUAUAACAUUCAAAUCAACUACAGAACUUCUGUAAUUAUAUAAAACCCCACGACCACAGAAAUGCAAUUGAAUUGAAGACACUUUGCAAUAUUCCCCAAGAAAGGACUGUGUGGCUGUCAGAUUAACAAAAGUCAAGAGGUGGUGAGACAAUGCUCACCAUUGCAAAAAAGAGCUUUGUGCAUAAUGAACAGAAUUUGCAUGCCUGUUUAGGAAAUUAAGGUGAAGCCAAGGUGACUUAGGGUCACAUGAGGAGUCACAAC